rnacentral:rRNA from 1 species
GAUGAACGCUGGCGGCGUGCCUAAUACAUGCAAGUCGAGCGAACAGAUAAGGAGCUUGCUCCUCUGACGUUAGCGGCGGACGGGUGAGUAACACGUGGAUAACCUACCUAUAAGACUGGGAUAACUUCGGGAAACCGGAGCUAAUACCGGAUAAUAUUUUGAACCGCAUGGUUCAAUAGUGAAAGACGGUUUUGCUGUCACUUAUAGAUGGAUCCGCGCCGCAUUAGCUAGUUGGUAAGGUAACGGCUUACCAAGGCGACGAUGCGUAGCCGACCUGAGAGGGUGAUCGGCCACACUGGAACUGAGACACGGUCCAGACUCCUACGGGAGGCAGCAGUAGGGAAUCUUCCGCAAUGGGCGAAAGCCUGACGGAGCAACGCCGCGUGAGUGAUGAAGGUCUUCGGAUCGUAAAACUCUGUUAUUAGGGAAGAACAAACGUGUAAGUAACUGUGCACGUCUUGACGGUACCUAAUCAGAAAGCCACGGCUAACUACGUG